GAAUGCAUAGUCAAUAAAUUCCAUCAUGGCUUGAGGUUAUUCAUUCUAUUUAUAUUAUUUAUUCAUUUGUUUAGGCAAAUGCAACAUACAUAUAUUUCCUCUCAAGCAUAUAUUUUAAAGGUGCGGCUAGUUUUAGAGGUUUAUAUAAAUAACCUAAUUAUUUUAGGAGAAAGUAAAGUAUAAUAUUCAUCAAGGGCUACCUUAAUUCAAAUAUUUCUAAAGAAUGUUUUAGAAAUAUAUAGUUCAUGAAGGCGAUAAUCUUUUCCUUAAUUUAUUCUUUGAGGUUUCAAACUAUCCUCUAGUUUCAAGUUCAAAC
rnacentral:lncRNA from 7 species